UGUGGCAGGCGGCAGGGCCUAGGUGGUUGAGGCAGCUGAGUAGCAGACAUGCACACCACAAAGCGUGGUGAUGGAACAGUAACUGGGCUUGUGAGAGGGCUCUAUAGCAUAAACUAGGAGACAAAAUCCACGGAUUCACCAUAAACCAGGUGACAUCUGGUCCUGAGCUGUUUCUGACUGCAAUGAACCUCAGCCGUGAUGACACAGGAGCCAGAUAUUUAAACCUGGCCAGAGAAGACACAAAUAAUCUGUUCAGCAUGCAAUUCUGCACUACUCCUAUGGACAGCACCAGUGUUUCUCACAUUCUUUAGCAUACCAUCCUUCGUGGGUCUCAGAAAUAUCCAUGCAGAGACCCUUUCUUCAAAAUGUUGAACUGGUCCCUAUCCACUUUCAUAAACCCCUCCACAGUGAUUAUACUCUGUAUCCAUUUUCCACACAAAAUCCCAAGGACUUUCAGAAUCUCAUCUCAGUGUAUUUGGAUGCUGCCUUUUUCCCAUGUUUACCAGAGCUGGAUUUCUGGCAGGAAGGUCUGAGUGACCCCCAGAUGCCCUUGGUCUUUAAAGGAGUCUGCUUUAAUGAUGUGAAGGGAGCGUUUACAGACAAUGAGAGGAUAUUCUCCCAUCACCUUCAGAAGAGACUUCUUCCAGACCACACUUAGUGGUCUCUGGGGGUGAUCCAUUGUGCAUACUGGAGCUUACAUGGGGGCAACUUAAGCAAUUUCAUGCCACUCACUAUCACUUAAGCUAUGCUAGGUUAUUCACGCAUGGUAAUUUUCUGUUAGAACAGCAUCUGAAACAAAUUCAUGAGGAAGCACUGAGCAAAUUUCAGAAAAUUGAACCGAGCACUGCAGUGGAAUUCCAGAUAACAUGUAGCCCAUAUUCAUUUUCUGCAGAUCCCUCUAAACAAACAACCAUCAGCAUUAACUUCCUCUUACCAGACAUCACCAACACAAUUGAAGAAUUCACACUAAGUCUUCUGUGUUCACUCUUGAUUUCUGGGCCCAACUCUCUUUUACAAAGCCUUGAUUGAAUCUGGCCUUGGCACAGACUUUUCUCCUGAUGUUGGAUAUAAUGGCUACAUAAGGGAGGCCUGCUUCAGAGUCGACCUCCAAGGGAUUGUGGAGAAAGACUUUGAGACCAUCAGGUGACUCAUAGACAAAACAAUUGAUGAAGUAGUUGAGAAAAGAUUUGAAGAUGAUCAAAUUGAAGCUUUACUUCAUAAAAUUGAAAUACAGAUGAAACAUCAGUCUACCAGCUUCAUAUUGACUCUGACAUCAUACAUAGCUUCUUGCUGGAACCAUGAUGGGAACCCUGUGGAGCUCUUGAAGUGGGAAAUCAGUUGGCUAACUUCAGACAGCGCCUGCAGAAAAAUCCAAAAUUUUUGCAAGAAAAAGUAAAACAGUAUUUUAAGAAUAAUCAGCAUAAGCUGACUUUAUCAAUGAGGCCGGAUGACAAGGGUCAUGAGAAGCAAGCACAGGUAGAAGCCACAGAGCUCAAGCAGAAGGUUGAGACUUUGUCCCCCAGAGACAGGCAGCAGGUCUACAAGAAAGGUUUAGAAUUAUGGAAUCAACAAAGCAAACCUCAAAAUGCGUCUUGUCUGCCAGUGUUGAAAGUUUCAGAUAUUGAGUCCUCUGUACCUAUCAAGAAGUUGGAAGUGGUCCUGACAGUUGGAGAUAUCCCUGUUCAGUACUGCGCGCAGCCCACCAAUGGUGUGGUAUAUUUCUGGGCCUUCUCCAGUCUGAACACGCUCCCUGAGGAGCUGAGACCCUAUGUGCCCCUUUUCUGCAGCAUCCUCACCAAGCUGGGCUGUGACCUUCUUGACUACCAGGAGCAGGCUCAGCAGAUAGAACUGAAGACCAGAGGAAUGACCGCUUCUCCCCAUGUGCUCCCUGACAACUUGCAUAUGGAUACCUACGAGCAGGGUGUGCUUUUCUCCUCUCUCUGCCUGGACCGAAACCUGACAGACAGAUGCAUUUAUGGAGUGAAAUAUUUAACAACCCAUGCUUUGAGGAAGAACACUUCAAAGUGCUGGUGAAGAUGACUACAUGCAUUUCUCUUCCCUGA